AUUGAACGCUGGCGGCAGGCUUAACACAUGCAAGUCGAGCGGGGUGAUGGUGCUUGCACUAUCACUUAGCGGCGGACGGGUGAGUAAUGCUUAGGAAUCUGCCUAUUAGUGGGGGACAACACCUCGAAAGGGAUGCUAGUACCGCAUACGUCCUACGGGAGAAAGCAGGGGAUCACUUGUGACCUUGCGCUAAUAGAUGAGCCUAAGUCGGAUUAGCUAGUUGGUGGGGUAAAGGCCUACCAAGGCGACGAUCUGUAGCGGGUCUGAGAGGAUGAUCCGCCACACUGGGACUGAGACACGGCCCAGACUCCUACGGGAGGCAGCAGUGGGGAAUAUUGGACAAUGGGGGGAUCCCUGAUCCAGCCAUGCCGCGUGUGUGAAGAAGGCCUUAUGGUUGUAAAGCACUUUAAGCGAGGAGGAGGCUCUUUUGGUUAAUACCCAAGAUGAGUGGACGUUACUCGCAGAAUAAGCACCGGCUAACUCUGUGCCAGCAGCCGCCGUAA
rnacentral:rRNA from 1 species